UUAGUUCCAUGUUGUUUACAGUGUUAAGAGAAGCUGCUUUGUUUUCUACUGGUUAAAACUUUUCCGUUGUGGACAUAUGCAUGAUUAUAUAUGAUCACGAAAAGAAACAAAAUUCAUAUGACCUUUUCUCCCCCGAUAACGAUUUCAAUUAUGGAUUAUUUAAGCGUAGCGAGCAAUUUACACAAGCAUCGAAAAAAGUUGGUUGCUUUGUUCGAGAGAAAUGGUCCAACAUUUAGUGCGCUCCCGUGAAAGGUCGCGGAAAGUUUUUCCAUGGACUCUGAGUGAGAACGGACGGAGGAAAAUUUCCAUUAUUGUUAGGAAACUUUGUCUAUAUGACGGAAUUUUCUUAUCAUCGAUAACACCAAGGUCGAAUAAAUGUCAAAUAAAUGUACAGCUGAUGAAUCUUUUCCGGCGCUACUACAUUAUCGCGACGUUCCCGUUCGCGAUGUCAGCACAAAAUACACAUUCGUCAAGACACGAAUUCACUCAUCGAUCAUACUCGAUUUACUGUGUUAUAUAAUCAAUAGAAGAAAUACAGUCGCGAUGUAUUCUAACAAAAUAUCAAUUUUUUUACGUUGGACUUUUUUUAUAAACAAAUUAUUUUGUUUAUUACGCAGAUAAAAAUGAUUAAAUUUAUCGAUAUUCUGUAGAGUUGACAAACAUGUUUUAUACAUAAAAAGUUUCACUUUUCAAGAUUUGUAAUCAGCGGUCCAAAAAACAUAGAAAUGCAAAAUUUCACAGAAAUUUGUCAGAUAGAAAGAAUGUGCAACGCAAAGAAUUAAAAUACUCACUCUAUAGUUAUGGAAAAAGAAGCGAAAGAAUAUUUAAGGAAAUAUUAGUGCUAUUCUCUAGUUAGUAAGAAUUUUAGUAAUAACCGUUCAAAAUGAUUAAAAAGUAAUUUUACAACAGCAUUCGUAGGAUAAAAUUAAUAAAUAUUACAAUAUGUGAUAAAUUUUUUUAUUUUAAAAGUUAUCAAAUAUUUUAAAAGUGGCAAAGUAAAAACUUCAAAAAGUUUUAACCUGAGCUGUUUAUUGAAAAGUUGUUAACAAAAAUGUUUAAAAAACAUACCAGUUAACAUUGAUGUAUAAGGUUUGUUAUAUGUAUAUGAAAAGUGUAAUUCCUUGUUUCUAUAAGUAAUAAAUAUAGGUAUUAAAUAUCUUUAUUAAAUCUUUGCCUUAUUAAAUUAAGACUAUGAUAUAUAACAUGCAUAAGUAUACAACUUUAUAGCGUAAUAAGAUAUAGAUUGGGAUAAUAUUUAUUAAUUUUUUGCCUUACUAAAUUAAAAUGUGCGCAAGAGUCUACGAAAUAUAAAAAAUAAUAGAAAAGAUUAGCAAGACUCCUAGGCAAAGUACGUAUUGGGAAUCGCAAACAAAAAUAAACAAAAAAUCCAUGACAUUAUAAUCACUAUACAUAAACAUAAAUAAACGUCGAUAACAGAUAUGUUACAAGUCGGAAUAUAACACAUAACAUUAUUACAUUGCUUCUUAUUACAUUACUUCUUUUGUAAAUAUAAAGAAUAAACAAUUG